GAAAGAGAAUAUACUCCCUUUGAAAGCAAGCAUCCUGUCUAAGUCCAUACCACCCUAACGUGCCUGAUCUUGGAAGCUAAGCAGGGCUGGGCCUGGUUAGUACUUGGAUGGGAGAAAGCAAGCAUUCUAUCC
rnacentral:rRNA from 1 species